GUCUAGUGGAAGGUGUCCCUGCCCACGGUAGGGGUUUGGAACGAGAUGAGCUUUAAGGUCCCUCCCAACCCAAGCCAUUCCAUGACUUUAUGACACGUUUGCCACCCAGCAAAAGUGACGGCUUCCUGGGGAAUGUGGUGGUCCCAGCCCUGAUGUCCAUGGGUCAAGGAGUGGCCCAUGGAUACCUAUGGAUCUUGCUCUACCAGCAUUGAAGCAGCAUUACAAAUAAUACUAAUAAUACUAAUACCAUGACAAGCAAAGCAAGGCUUUGGUGGUAAAAUACUGCACAGGUUUGGUCUGCCCAGGUGUGACCUGUAGGGGAGAAGCAGGGAGACUAACAGGGGGAUUGAUACCCCCACUGGGUGGGGAGGGAAUGAGGAACGCUUCUGGACCGUGUGUUUUCUUUUAAAGCCUAUGAGAAAGUGUUACUAUUUGCCUAAUAAACAAGCACAGUUUUUAAAAAAAAAAAAAAUUGAUCAAACUGAAAAAAAAAAAAAAACCAAAACCAACCAAACAAAAAAACAAACAAACCUUUGAUGAAGAAAAGCACCAAACUCCCAUGGUCUCGUGUGAGUGACUGAUCCCAAGGUGCGUGCGAAUUUACAGUGUCUGGAGUUGUAUCAGUGUGUCAGGUUCCUUUGCGUUUAAAUAAUUUGUACAAGUAGGUUGCGAGUUAGGAUGAGUUUAAAAACAAAACAAAACAAACAUCAUCAACAACAACAAUCUAGAAACAAAACAUCAAUAGUUUACAGGGUUUUGUGAGUUUAAAUGCCUUAUAUUUAACAAUCAUAAUUUAUGACUAACUUGUAGAUAUUGUGGGUUCUAAUUUAAUUAUUUUUAUAGUUGUUUUUUUGCAUUUUUAAUUAUAAUUUAUUUAUUUAGAAAUUACUACUAAUUUUUUUUAUUACUCCUAUUACCUCAUUUUUGCAUUGUUUCUGGGAAUGGAAUGCUUUGCAUGCAUCGGUACUUAAAAUAAAAUUAAACAGGGGAUGUGGGGGGUAAUGCUUAUCUUGUCAAAAACAAAAACAAAAAAAAAAAAAAAGAGAAAAAAAAUCAGGGUGUGUGAUUACAAACUGUAUUACUGUGGUGCUGUUACCUUGGAUACAUUCCAUAAAAAUGCAAACCUUUGAUUCUGUAUGCUGUGACAUAGUGGAAAACUGCAAUAUAGUGACUGUGUUUAGCACAUAUAUAUGAAUAUUAUUUGCACUCAUAAUCAAACUCUGGUGAUCCUUUCACUUGUGUCCUUGCGCAUUGAAGGCGGUUAACGACGCUCUGCAUAACCCAGAAUGUUUUGGUUGUUUCUUGGUACUGCCCUGUCCCUGACUCCUCUGGUGAUGCUGCUGCUGCUGCUGCUGCUGCUGCUUGUGUGACCCUGGAAUAACACUCAGCAGGCCCCCACUGCAAAGGAUAAUGCAUGCCUUUAGUGCAAGACUCUGCAAAUUGUGUCAAAAGCCCAGGAAGGAAGCCCAGGUGUGGUGGCUCUGUAAUUUUUGGCGUCUGUCAGUGCUCGGUUUGGCUCUUUUCACCUUCUGUGUGUGCACCCAGCUGGGGUGAAGGAGGCAAUAAGGCGAGCCUGAGCUUGGAGGCAACAGAACUGAGGGAUUCAAUGCAGUUUUUAGGGGUUGACUUCUUUACCCAGAGACUAGGAAGGCCCUGGCACAGGUUUCCCAGAGAAGCUAUGGCUGCUCCUGGAUCCCUGGAAGUGUUUAUGGCCAGGCUGGAUGGGGCUUGGAGCAACCUGGGAUAGUGGAAGGUGUCCUGCCCAUUGGCAGGAGGUGGAACGAGAUGAGCUUUAGGAUCCCUUCCAGCCCGAACGAUUCUGUGAUCCUGUGACACCACGUCCAGCUGAGAGUGGUUGGGAUGGACACGGGAUCCAUUUGCCAUCUCUUUGCAACGCCUGCCAUGGGCACUGGCUAUAACUCAGCUCUGACCCAUGCAUGGAGCAGAAGCACUUAACUCUGAUCUUGACCAGCUGGCUUCAUCCCUCCUGUACAGGAGGGAGCCUCAAUCUGGAGCUUUUUAAUCCAGUGUAGAGCUGGGACCCGCCCCAGAGCCCUCCUUCCCCCAGGAAAGGGGUCAGCCCCAAAAUGACAUGGCCAAGCAUCCUCAUCCUGCCAUGGCUGUGCUGCUCUUGCAAUGAGUUGCCCUUUCCCCAAAGGCUCCUGAGUAUCACGAGUUCCAGCUUUGCCAGAAGGGUGCUGCGCUGCUUUGUUGACUUUGCCUUACCCCAGGUUUUAAACCUGUCUGUGUUUUUUACCUUGCUGCUCUGUAACACUCCUCCCCUGUAGCCUGGAGCUGUGAUUUUGAGCUGUGUGGGGACAGGGGGUUGGUUGUCCUCCCCCCCAAAGUCACUGUAAGAGGGAUAAGCCAAACAAGGAGCGAGUAAACAAAACCCCCUCUCCUUUAAUGACCCGGGCAGGUGAAAGGAUCACCCACAUUUUUGUAUUCCUACUGCUGUUCUGUUGUGCUGUGCAACAUUUUGCUACAUAGACUAUUUUAUAGAAGAAAGCUAGAAAAAUAUUUAUUAUUAAUAUUAAAGCAAUAGUGCAUUGAAGAAAUGGAAAGACAUUAGAAAUUGUGUAAAUGCUUAGAUUCACUUUUGGUGGACUUUUUGUACUUUAUUUAUAACUAAUAAAACAAACCGCAUUGCUAA